GACGAACGCUGGCGGCGUGCUUAACACAUGCAAGUCGAACGGAAAGGCCCUGCUUUUGUGGGUUGCUCGUGUGGCGAACGGGUGAGUAACACUUGUGUAUCCUGCCCUUGUCUUUGUUAUAACUUCUGGUAACUUGGUCUAAUACCCUAUAUGAUCUCCUGCUGCAUUGUUUGUUUUGGUAAUUUUCGGCGGUUGGGGAUGGACUCGCUGCUUAUCAGCUUGUUUGUGGGGUAGUUGCUUACCAAGGCUUUGACGGGUAGCAGGCCUGAGAGGGUUACCGGCGACAUUGGGACUGAGAUACGGCCCAGAAUCCUACGGGAGGCAGCAGUGGGGAAUAUUGCACAAUGGGAGGAAGCCUGAUGCAGAAACGCAGGGUGCGGGAUGAAGGCAUUCGGGUUGUAAACCGAUUUCGCCUGUGACGAAGCGUGAGUGACGGUAAUGGGUAAAGAAGCACCGGCUAACUACGUG
rnacentral:rRNA from 1 species